rnacentral:rRNA from 1 species
UACAGAGGGUGCUAGCGUUAUUCGGAUUUACUGGGCGUAAAGCGCGCGCGGGCUGUUUAGCAAGUCUACUGUGAAAGCCUCCGUUUCAAGCGGAGAAGUGCAGUAGAUACUACUAGACUAGAGUGCAGGAGGGAGGAGCGGAAUUCCAGGUGUAGAGGUGAAAUUCGUAGAUAUCGGUAGGAACACCAGUGGCGAAGGCGGUCUCCUGGGGCAUUCUUGACGCUGAGGCGCGAAAGCUGGGGGAGCGAACGGG